GCGCAGGUGGUGAAAUUGGUAGACACGCUAGCCUUAGGAGCUAGAGCCCGCAAGGGUGUGGAGGUUCGAGUCCUCUCCUGCGCA
rnacentral:tRNA from 1 species